GUGCCAGCCGCCGCGGUAAUACCGGCAGCUCGAGUGAUGUCCCAUAUUAUUGGGCCUAAAGCGUCCGUAGCUGGCCGACCAAGUCUCCCGGGAAAUCCACCCGCCCAACGAGUGGGCGUCCGACGGAAACUGCACAGCUUGGGACCGGAAGGCGCGACGGGUACGUCCGGGGUAGGAGUGAAAUCCCGUAAUCCUGGACGGACCGCCGAUGGCGAAAGCACGUCGCGAAGACGGAUCCGACAGUGAGGGACGAAAGCUAGGGUCUCGAACCGGAUUAGAUACCCCAGUAGUCC
rnacentral:rRNA from 1 species